CGUAAAGUUAAACACAGUGUGGGUUUGGGGAAAUUCAAAGUACACGUGUGACCAAUAGUCAGCAAAUGGUCGCUUGGCUUUAUUUUAAAUAUUGGCCAAGUUAGCCACUCUGGAUUCAUCUUGAAGAUUGGCUUUUUCAAAAAACUAAAGGUGAAUGAUUAUGCUAAUGUCUAGAUACCAAGUUUAUUGAGAUCACAUUGGUUAAGAAGAUUAUGUAUGGAUGAGAAUAGUGAAGAAUUGAUAUUUUGAUUUAAAUAAUGUAUUUAAGUAUUAAUGCCAUCAAAUUUACCAGUACAUAUCUUUAUGGAUUUUGCAUACUAUCUUGAGAAAGAAGAUGUGUGUGGAGUUUGCUUUCUGGCAUGGUUGUAUGACACAAACCUAUGUUCCUGAAGAACUGGAGCCAUAAGCAGUUCUGCCUAAUGUGAUUGGUCAUAGAUUUUGAUUGACUUUAAUCAUACUACAUGAAUAAAAUUUAGGCCAAGUAAUUGAUGAAGAAGACUUACCAGCCAAGAUCCUAGCAGGAGAUAAAGCUAUUUUCGAAUUGCCAAAUCUUGCCCGAGACAGGCAGUACCUGACAGAUGUCAACAAGGGAAAGGAGUUCUUAUAACAAGAAGAGCAGUACCGUGCAAGAACAUCACAGUACCCAGUAGAACAGCAGCUGUUCUCAUGGAAUAGAGCAAAAACUGUCAAGGAAAACAGCAAGA